AUGCAUCUCUUGGAAGGUGUUCGAUUAAGAAAACAAACAUGAGGAUGGAGUAGAAGGACUUCUAAAGGUAGUUGUUUAGGAGGAGUUGUGGAUGAGAGAUGGAUAGCUCAAAGCGUAAAGGACGUACGGAUGUCCAGACGGGCACUCCAAUUACUAUUGAAUUUGGAUUCACAUAUGGAAUUCCAUAUCAGACAGCCAUGCAACUGCUUUUAAUUUGCUUACUGUUCCUGUCAACUGCUUACUGCCAACAGCUGCUAAUGUGAUGUUAUACAUUAAUAAAAUUAGCAAAAGUUAAAAAAAA